rnacentral:tRNA from 1 species
GCCCCGGUAGCUCAGUUGGUCAGAGCUGCUGUUUCGUAAUCAGCGGGUCGGCGGUUCGAAUCCGUCCCGGGGCU